rnacentral:rRNA from 1 species
AGAGUUUGAUCAUGGCUCAGGACGAACGCUGGCGGCGCGCCUAACACAUGCAAGUCGAACGAGCAAAGAGGAGCUUGCUUCUCUGAGCGAGUGGCGAACGGGUGAGUAACGCGUGAGGAACCUGCCUCAAAGAGGGGGACAACAGUUGGAAACGACUGCUAAUACCGCAUAAGCCCACGGGUCGGCAUCGACCAGAGGGAAAAGGAGUGAUCCGCUUUGAGAUGGCCUCGCGUCCGAUUAGCUGGUUGGUGAGGUAACGGCCCACCAAGGCGACGAUCGGUAGCCGGACUGAGAGGUUGAACGGCCACAUUGGGACUGAGACACGGCCCAGACUCCUACGGGAGGCAGCAGUGGGGAAUAUUGCACAAUGGGGGAAACCCUGAUGCAGCGACGCCGCGUGGAGGAAGAAGGUCUUCGGAUUGUAAACUCCUGUUGUUGAGGAAGAUAAUGACGGUACUCAACAAGGAAGUGACGGCUAACUACGUGCCAGCAGCCGCGGUAAAACGUAGGUCACAAGCGUUGUCCGGAAUUACUGGGUGUAAAGGGAGCGCAGGCGGGAAGACAAGUUGGAAGUGAAAUCCAUGGGCUCAACCCAUGAACUGCUUUCAAAACUGUUUUUCUUGAGUAGUGCAGAGGUAGGCGGAAUUCCCGGUGUAGCGGUGGAAUGCGUAGAUAUCGGGAGGAACACCAGUGGCGAAGGCGGCCUACUGGGCACCAACUGACGCUGAGGCUCGAAAGUGUGGGUAGCAAACAGGAUUAGAUACCCUGGUAGUCCACACCGUAAACGAUGAUUACUAGGUGUUGGAGGAUUGACCCC